rnacentral:rRNA from 1 species
GACGAACGCUGGCGGCGUGCUUAACACAUGCAAGUCGAACGGAAAGGCCCUGCUUUUGUGGGGUGCUCGAGUGGCGAACGGGUGAGUAACACGUGAGUAACCUGCCCUUGACUUUGGGAUAACUUCAGGAAACUGGGGCUAAUACCGGAUAGGAGCUCCUGCUGCAUGGUGGGGGUUGGAAAGUUUCGGCGGUUGGGGAUGGACUCGCGGCUUAUCAGCUUGUUGGUGGGGUAGUGGCUUACCAAGGCUUUGACGGGUAGCCGGCCUGAGAGGGUGACCGGCCACAGUGGGAGUGCGGUACGGCCCAGACUCCUGCGGGAGGCAGCAGUGGGGAAUAUUGCACAAUGGGCUGCAGCCUGAUGCAGCAACGCCGCGUGCGGGAUGACGGCCUUCGGGUUGUAAACCGCUUUCGCCUGUGACGAAGCGUGAGUGACGGUAAUGGGUAAAGAAGCACCGGCUAACUACGUG